CAGGCCUAACACAUGCAAGUCGAGCGGGCACUUCGGUGUCAGCGGCGGACGGGUGAGUAACGCGUGGGAACGUGCCUUCUGGUUCGGAAUAACUCAGGGAAACUUGAGCUAAUACCGGAUACGCCCUUUUGGGGAAAGGUUUACUGCCGGAAGAUCGGCCCGCGUCUGAUUAGCUAGUUGGUGGGGUAGCGGCCUACCAAGGCGACGAUCAGUAGCUGGUCUGAGAGGAUGAUCAGCCACACUGGGACUGAGACACGGCCCAGACUCCUACGGGAGGCAGCAGUGGGGAAUAUUGGACAAUGGGCGCAAGCCUGAUCCAGCCAUGCCGCGUGAGUGAUGAAGGCCUUAGGGUUGUAAAGCUCUUUUAUCCGGGACGAUAAUGACGGUACCGGAGGAAUAAGCCCCGGCUAACUUCGUGCCA
rnacentral:rRNA from 1 species